AUUGUACGCUGGCGGCAUGCCUUACACAUGCAAGUCGAACGGUAACGCGGGGCAACCUCGCGACGAGUGGCGAACGGGUGAGUACUGUAUCGGAACGUGCACAGUUGUGGGGGCUAACUGCUAGAACGAGCAGCUAAUACGCCAUACGCACUGAGGGCGAACGCGGGGGAUCGCAAGAGCUCGCGCAAUUGGAGCGGCCGAUAUCAGAGUAGGUAGGUGGUGGGGUAAAGGCUCACCAAGCCGACGAUCUGUAGCUGGUCUGACAGGACGACCAGCCACGCUGGGACUGAGACACGGCCCAGACUCAUACGAGAGGCAGCAGUGGUGAAUUUUUGACAAUGGACGCAAGUCUGAUCCAGCCAUGCCGCGUGCGGGAAGAAGGCCUUCGGGUUGUAGACCGCUUUUGUCAGGGAAGAGAAGGCUCCUUCUAAUAUAGGGGGCUCAUGACGGUACCUGAAGAAUAAGCACCGGCUAACUACGUGCCAGCCGCCGCGGUAACAC
rnacentral:rRNA from 1 species